rnacentral:rRNA from 1 species
UACGAAGGGGGCUAGCGUUGCUCGGAAUCACUGGGCGUAAAGGGUGCGUAGGCGGGUCUUUUAAGUCAGGGGUGAAAUCCUGGAGCUCAACUCCAGAACUGCCUUUGAUACUGAAGAUCUUGAGUUCGGGAGAGGUGAGUGAACUGCGAGUGUAGAGGUGAAAUUCGUAGAUAUUCGCAAGAACACCAGUGGCGAAGGCGGCUCACUGGCCCGAUACUACGCUGAGGCA